AUUUAAAUAGUUGAAUAAAAUAUUAACUUGUGACGUUAAAGGUAUAAUUAAUUUAUUUUAAAUU
rnacentral:tRNA from 3 species